rnacentral:rRNA from 1 species
GACGAACGCUGGCGGCGUGCUUAACACAUGCCAGUCGAACGGAAAGGCCCCUUUUGGGGUACUCGAGUGGCGAACGGGUGAGUAACACGUGAGUAACCUGCCCUUGACUUCGGGAUAACUUCAGUAAACUGGGGCUAAUACCGGAUAGGAAUCCUUGCUGCAUGGUGGGGGUUGGAAAGCUUCGGCGGUUUUGGAUGGACUCGCGGCUUAUCAGCUUGUUGGUGGGGUAGUGGCUUACCAAGGCUUUGACGGGUAGCCGGCCUGAGAGGGCGACCGGCCACAUUGGGACUGAGAUACGGCCCAGACUCCUACGGGAGGCAGCAGUGGGGAAUAUUGCACAAUGGGCGGAAGCCUGAUGCAGCAACGCCGCGUGCGGGAUGACGGCCUUCGGGUUGUAAACCGCUUUCAGCAGGGGCGAAGCUUGUGGUGACGGUACCUGCAGAAGAAGCACCGGCUAACUACGU